rnacentral:rRNA from 1 species
GACGAACGCUGGCGGCGUGCUUAACACAUGCAAGUCGAACGGAAAGGCCUCUUUCGGGGGGUACUCGAGUGGCGAACGGGUGAGUAACACGUGAGUAACCUGCCCUUGACUUUGGGAUAACUUCAGGAAACUGGGGCUAAUACCGGAUAGGAGCUCCUGCUGCAUGGUGGGGGUUGGAAAGUUUCGGCGGUUGGGGAUGGACUCGCGGCGUAUCAGCUUGUUGGUGGGGUAGUGGCUUACCAAGGCUUUGACGGGUAGCCGGCCUGUGAGGGUGACCGGCCACAUUGGCACUGAGAUACGGCCCAGACACCUACGGGAGGCAGCAGUGGGGAAUAUUGCACAAUGGGUGGAGGCCUGAUGCAGCAACGCCGUGUGCGGGAUGACGGCCUUCGGGUUGUAAACCGCUUUCGCUCAUGACGAAGCUUUGUGUGACGGUAGUGGGUAAAGAAGCACCGGCUAACUACGUG